rnacentral:piRNA from 1 species
UCUAGCUCGUGCUCUACACUGGGACC